rnacentral:lncRNA from 1 species
GGGGGGUGAGAGGCGGGCAGGAGGGGAGGAGUAGGGAGGCGAGAGCAGCGGGCGGGAGGCGCCACGGCCUCGCAGACGCAGGCGCCCGCAGCCGAGAAGCCAGAGAGAAAGUUCCCGGGGAGAGCUCGCCCCUGGGAGGGCCGACGUCGAGCCUGCUCGCCGCGAGGGUCUCAGGUCCCGCGCGUCCAGCCAGCCUUCCCGCUGCGCGCACUCGGCCGCCCGGGAUCGGCUCGCCGGGAAGCAGGGGAACAUCGCCGGCUGGCAGCCGGGGCGGCCGCCGCCAAACUUGGAGGAGGAGGAUGCUGCGAGUGGGCGCGGCGGCGCGGGGCGCGGGGGCGCACUGAGGGCUUCCCACGGCGCUGCUGCCAGGGCUGUGGCCGUGCGAGCCGGCCGAAGCGGAGCGGGCAGGUAGCGGCUGUAGCGCCAGGACUGCGCCAGCCCUGCGAGCCCGGGCCGCCAGCGCCACCGUGCCGGCGUCGCCUCCUCGCCACGGAGCCAUGGUGCGCGGAGCGCGCACGCGGCGAGCGGGACUCUGAGCUCCGGCCGCGUCGCGCGUCCCCACCUUCCCAAGGGGGCUCCCCCGCCGACCUCGCCCUCGGGCCAUGAGGCUUUGGCCCGGAGCUCCUCGCCUCUGAGUCGCGCACCGCCUGUUCCAGCCCCAGCGCCGCUCGGCCACUGAUUGCACUCUGGCCGCUGAAGCUCCCCAUCCUCUCCCAGGGACGGCACCCAGGCGCUCCGGGAUGGCGCUCCGCGGGACCCUCCGGCCGCUCAAAGUUCGCAGGAGGCGAGAGAUGCUGCCGCAGCAAGUCGGCUUCGUGUGCGCGGUGCUGGCCCUGGUGUGCUGUGCGUCCGGCCUCUUCGGCAGCUUGGGGCACAAAACAGCUUCUGCUAGCAAACGUGUCCUGCCAGACACGUGGAGAAAUAGAAAGUUGAUGGCCCCAGUGAAUGGGACACAGACAGCCAAGAACUGCACAGAUCCCGCGAUUCACGAGUUCCCCACAGAUCUGUUCUCCAAUAAGGAGCGACAGCACGGAGCCGUCCUGCUGCACAUCCUUGGUGUAAGUCGUCCUCCCAGAGUGGUCACAAAACUUCUGGCACAUGAAGCCUCUCUGCACAGCGGGGCAGAGCCGUGGUGUGUCUGAGAUCUUUUAUUCUUGUAACAGCCCAGUGAGGAGAGCGGAGACUGGGCAUGUUUUACCCACACAGAAAUGGUGUCUUAAACGUGUUAGGUGACUUACCCGGUGUCACACAGCUAGUGGCCCCAGGACCAACACAGGAAUGCAAGUCUUUCCUGUACCCCAUUUUCUGCUUUUGUAAAACAGGGAUGAUGGUACCUAUUACAGAGUGUGAAUAUGAGUGAAUAUGGGUCAAGGGCAUCAGUGUUGCGUGGCACAUGAUAA